AUUGAACGCUGGCGGAAUGCCUAACACAUGCAAGUCGAGCGGGGUAGCAAUACCCAGCGGCGGACGGGUGAGGAAUACAUAGGAAUUUGCCUUUAGGUGGGGGAUAGCUUGGGGAAACUCAAGGUAAUACCGCAUGAUCUCGCAAGAGUAAAGUGGGGGACCGCAAGGCCUCACGCCUUUAGAGAAGCCUAUGUCUGAUUAGCUUGUUGGUGAGGUAACGGCUCACCAAGGCGACGAUCAGUAACUGGUCUGAGAGGACGAUCAGUCACACCGGAACUGAGACACGGUCCGGACUCCUACGGGAGGCAGCAGUGGGGAAUAUUGGACAAUGGGCGCAAGCCUGAUCCAGCAAUUCCGCGUGUGUGAAGAAGGCCCUCGGGUUGUAAGGCACUUUAGGUUGGGAAGAAAAAGCUUCGGCGAAUAUCCGGAGUGUUGACGGUACCAACAGAAUAAGCACCGGCUAACUCUGUGCCAGCCGCCGCCGUAA
rnacentral:rRNA from 1 species